UCCGAUAACGAACGAGACCUCUACCUGCUAAAUAGUGACCGGUUCCGUCUGGAACGACGGUCUACUUCUUAGAGGGACUGCGGUCGUCUAUAGACCGCGGAAGUUGGAGGCAAUAACAGGUCUGUGAUGCCCUUCGAUGUUCUGGGCCGCACGCGCGCUACACUGGUGUAGGCAGCGAGUCAUUGCUCGGUCGUCAGACCAGGCUAAACUUGCAAACUACACCGUGAUGGGGAUCGUCCCUUGCAAUUUUUGGACGUGAACGAGGAAUUCCUAGUAAGUACCGGUCAUCAGCCGGUGCUGAUUUCGUCCCUGCUCUUUGUACACACCGCCCGUCGCUAGUACCGAUUGAAUGGGUAA
rnacentral:rRNA from 1 species